AUUGAACGCUGGCGGCAUGCUUUACACAUGCAAGUCGAACGGUAACAGGCCUUCGGGUGCUGACGAGUGGCGAACGGGUGAGUAAUGCAUCGGAACGUACCCAGAGGUGGGGGAUAACGCAGCGAAAGCUGUGCUAAUACCGCAUGUGAUCUGAGGAUGAAAGCGGGGGACCGAGCAGCAAUGUUUGGCCUCGCGCCUUUGGAGCGGCCGAUGUCGGAUUAGCUAGUUGGUGGGGUAAAGGCCUACCAAGGCGACGAUCCGUAGCUGGUCUGAGAGGACGACCAGCCACACUGGGACUGAGACACGGCCCAGACUCCUACGUGAGGCAGCAGUGGGGAAUUUUGGACAAUGGGCGCAAGCCUGAUCCAGCAAUGCCGCGUGCGGGAAGAAGGCCGUCGGGUUGUAAACCGCUUUUGGCAGGAACGAAACGGUGUCCGCUAAUACCGGGCGCUAAUGACGGUACCUGCAGAAUAAGCACCGGCUAACUACGUG
rnacentral:rRNA from 1 species